rnacentral:rRNA from 1 species
GGUAGACGCUGGCGGCGUGCUUACACAUGCAAGUCGAACGAUGAAGCCCAGCUUGCUGGGUGGAUUAGUGGCGAACGGGUGAGUAACACGUGAGUAACCUGCCCUUAACUCUGGGAUAAGCCUGGGAAACUGGGUCUAAUACCGGAUAGGAGCGCCUACCGCAUGGUGGGUGUUGGAAAGAUUUAUCGGUUUUGGAUGGACUCGCUGGCCUAUCAGCUUGUUGGUGAGGUAAUGGCUCACCAAGGCGACGACGGGUAGCCGGCCUGAGAGGGUGACCGGCCACACUGGGACUGAGACACGGCCCAGACUCCUACGGGAGGCAGCAGUGGGGAAUAUUUGCACAAUGGGCGAAAGCCUGAUGCAGCGACGCCGCGUGAGGGAUGACGGCCUUCGGGGUUGUAAACCUCUUUCAGUAGGGAAGAAGCGAAAGUGCCGGUACCUGCAGAAGAAGCACCGGCUAACUACGUGCCAGCAGCCAGCGGUAAUACGUAGGGUGCGAGCGUUAUCCGGAAUUAUUGGGCGUAAAGAGCUCGUAGGCGGUUUGUCGCGUCUGUCGUGAAAGUCCGGGGCUUAACCCCGGAUACUGCGGUGGGUACGGGCAGACUAGAGUGCAGUAGGGGAGACUGGAAUUCCUGGUGUAGCGGUGGAAUGCGCAGAUAUCAGGAGGAACACCGAGGCGAAGGCAGGUCUCUGGGCUGUACUGACGCUGAGGAGCGAAAGCAUGGGACGACA